rnacentral:tRNA from 1 species
AGGUUAAAGCCCGCCUGGAUUGGGUAUUUAGUUGUUAAUUAAAGUUUUACGGGAUCGAGGCCCGUUAGCCU